rnacentral:rRNA from 1 species
GACGAACGCUGGCGGCGUGCUUAACACAUGCAAGUCGAACGGAAAGGCCCUGCUUUUGUGGGGUGCUCGAGUGGCGAACGGGUGAGUAACACGUGAUUAACCUUCCCUUGACUUUGGGAUAACUUCAGGAAACUGGGGCUAAUACCGGAUAGGAGCUCCUGCUGCAUGGUGGGGGUUGGAAAGUUUCGGCGGUUGGGGAUGGACUCGCGGCUUAUCAGCUUGUUGGUGGGGUAGUGGCUUACCAAGGCUUUGACGGGUAGCCGGCCUGAGAGGGUGAACGGCCACAUUGGGACUGAGAUACGGCCCAGACUCCUACGGGAGGCAGCAGGGGGGAAUAUUGCACAAUGGGCGGAAGCCUGAUGCAGCAACGCCGCGUGCGGGAUGACGGCCUUCGGGUUGUAAACCGCUUUCGCCUGUGACGAAGCGUGAGUGACGGUAAUGGGUAAAGAAGCACCGGCUAACUACGUG